GUUGGCGGGGCGACGGCCCACCAAGGCGACGAUCAGUAGGGGUUCUGAGAGGAAGGUCCCCCACAUUGGAACUGAGACACGGUCCAAACUCCUACGGGAGGCAGCAGUGAGGAAUAUUGGUCAAUGGGCGGAAGCCUGAACCAGCCAAGUAGCGUGCAGGAGGACGGCCCUACGGGUUGUAAACUGCUUUUAUGCGGGGAUAAAGUGAGGGACGUGUCCCUUUUUGCAGGUACCGCAUGAAUAAGGACCGGCUAAUUCCGUGCCAGCAGCCGCGGUAAUACGGAAGGUCCGGGCGUUAUCCGGAUUUAUUGGGUUUAAAGGGAGCGUAGGCCGGGGAUUAAGUGUGUUGUGAAAUGUAGGCGCCCAACGUCUGACUUGCAGCGCAUACUGGUUCCCUUGAGUACGCGCAACGCCGGCGGAAUUCGUCGUGUAGCGGUGAAAUGCUUAGAUAUGACGAAGAACCCCGAUUGCGAAGGCAGCCGGCGGGAGCGCAACUGACGCUGAAGCUCGAAGGUGCGGGUAUCGAACAGGAUUAGAUACCCUGGUAGUCCGCACGGUAAACGAUGGAUGCCCGCUGUCGGCGCCUUGCGCCGGCGGCCAAGCGAAAGCGUUAAGCAUCCCACCUGGGGAGUACGCCGGCAACGGUGAAACUCAAAGGAAUUGACGGGGGCCCGCACAAGCGGAGGAACAUGUGGUUUAAUUCGAUGAUACGCGAGGAACCUUACCCGGGCUUGAAUUGCAGGAGAACGAUACAGAGAUGUUGAGGUCCUUCGGGACUCCUGCGAAGGUGCUGCAUGGUUGUCGUCAGCUCGUGCCGUGAGGUGUCGGCUUAAGUGCCAUAACGAGCGCAACCCCUCUCCCCAGUUGCCAUCGGGUGAUGCCGGGCACUCCGGGGACACUGCCGCCGCAAGGUGCGAGGAAGGCGGGGAUGACGUCAAAUCAGCACGGCCCUUACGUCCGGGGCUACACACGUGUUACAAUGGCCGG
rnacentral:rRNA from 1 species